CUACGGGUGGCACCAGUGGGGAAUAUUGGACAAUGGGGGAAACCCUGAUCCAGCAAUGCCGCGUGUGUGAAGAAGGCCUGCGGGUUGUAAAGCACUUUCGGUUGGGAGGACUGCUUCUAGCACUAAUAUUGUUGGAAGUUGACGUUACCUUCAGAAGAAGCACCGGCUAACUCCGUGCCAGCAGCCGCGGUGAAUACGGAUGGUGCAAGCGUUAAUCGGAAUUACUGGGCGUAAAGCGCGCGUAGGCGGCUAGAUCAGUCGGGUGUGAAAGCCCCGGGCUUAACCUGGGAACUGCAUCCGAUACUGUCUAGCUUGAGUACAGGAGAGGAGAGUGGAAUUCCACAUGUAGCGGUGAAAUGCGUAGAUAUGUGGAGGAACACCAAUGGCGAAGGCAGCUCUCUGGCCUGAUACUGACGCUGAGGUGCGAAAGCGUGGGGAGCAAACAGGAUUAGAUACCCCCGUAGUC
rnacentral:rRNA from 1 species